rnacentral:snRNA from 1 species
GGAAAUGGAGCUGAUCUGGCUGCAAAUGUCGCCUGUGGUCUGACAGAGCUGAUCCAGCUAAUGUGGCUGGCUUGGUGGGUAUCCUCUUUCUCCCCCAUUGCUCCACGAACCUCACUGCUAAAGUUUCACUCUUGGUGGAAGAAGAUGACCUUUUCCAGUAGAAGGCCAUUCUCUAGUCUAGGGUCUCCUCCUGCUAGAACUUCCAAACUAGUUCUUAAGAGCUAGCUAGGGUAUGUCAAAGCCAAGAGCGCUGGUCACGUACACCUAGACAAAUCUCGGAGGCUAGGU